rnacentral:rRNA from 1 species
GACGGACGCUGGCGGCGUGCUUAACACAUGCAAGUCGAACGAUGAACCCGGAGCUUGCUCCGGUGGAUUAGUGGCGAACUGGUGAGUAACACGUGAGUAACCUGCCCUUGACUCUGGGAUAACUGCGGGAAACUGUAGCUAAUACCGGAUACGACCCUCGGCGGCAUCGCCAGGGGGUGGAAAGAAUUUCGGUCAAGGAUGGACUCGCGGCCUAUCAGCUAGUUGGUGAGGUAAAGGCUCACCAAGGCGACGACGGGUAGCCGGCCUGAGAGGGCGACCGGCCUCACUGGGUAUGAGAGACGGAGCAGACGUCUACGGGGGGCAGCGGUGGGGAAUAUUGGACAAUGGGGGAAAGCCUGAUGCAGCAACGCCGCGUGAGGGAUGUCGGCCUUCGGGUUGUAAACCUCUUUUAGCAGGGAAGAAGCGAAAGUGACGGUACCUGCAGAAAAAGCACCGGCUAACUACGUGCCAGCCGCCGCAGUAA